rnacentral:rRNA from 1 species
UACAGAGGUCUCAAGCGUUGUUCGGAUUCAUUGGGCGUAAAGGGUGCGUAGGCGGCGCGGUAAGUCGGGUGUGAAAUCUCGGGGCUUAACUCCGAAACUGCAUUCGAUACUGCCGUGCUUGAGGACUGGAGAGGAGACUGGAAUUCCUGGUGUAGCGGUGAAAUGCGUAGAUAUCAGGAGGAACACCGGUGGCGAAGGCGGGUCUCUGGGCAGUAACUGACGCUGAGGAGCGAAAGCGUGGGGAGCGAACAGG